rnacentral:piRNA from 2 species
UACCAACUGUGAAGUCAUUAGCUAGA